GACGAACGCUGGCGGCGUGCUUAACACAUGCAAGUCGAACGGAAAGGCCCUGCUUUUGUGGGGUUCUCGUGUGGCGAUCUGGUGAGUAACACGUGUGUAACCUGCCCUUGACUUUUGGAUAACUUCUGGUAACUGGGUCUAAUACCGGAUAUGAUCUCCUGCUGCAUUGUGUGGUUUGGUUAUUUUCGUCGGUUGGGGAUGGACUCGCGGCUUAUCAGCUUGUUGGUGGGGUAGUGGCUUACCAAGGCUUUGACGGGUAGCCGGCCUGAGAGGGUGACCGGCGACAUUGGGACGAAGAUACGGAGCAGAAUCCAACGGGAGGCAGCAGUGGGGAAUAGUGCACAAGGGGAGGAAGGCUGAUGCAGAAACGCGGCGUGCGGGAUGACGGCCUUCGGGUUGUAAACAGAAUUCGCCUGUGACGAAGCGUGAGUGACGGUAAUGGGUAAAGAAGCACCGGCUAACUACGUG
rnacentral:rRNA from 1 species